UACAGAGGGUGCGAGCGUUCAUCGGAAUUACUGGGCGUAAAGCGUGCGUAGACGGUAGCGUAAGUCAGAUGUGAAAGCCCCGGGCUCAACCUGGGAACUGCAUUUGAGACUGCUCUGCUCGGGUGCGGAAGAGGGAAGCGGAAUUUCCGGUGUAGCGGUGAAAUGCGUAGAUAUCGGAAGGAACACCAGUGGCGAAAGCGGCUUCCUGGUCCGACACCGACGUUCAGGCACGAAAGCGUGGGGAGCAAACAGG
rnacentral:rRNA from 1 species